rnacentral:rRNA from 1 species
GGGUGAGUAACACGUGAGUAACCUGCCCUUAACUCUGGGAUAAGCCUGGGAAACUGGGUCUAAUACCGGAUAGGAGCGCCUACCGCAUGGUGGGUGUUGGAAAGAUUUAUCGGUUUUGGAUGGACUCGCGGCCUAUCAGCUUGUUGGUGAGGUAAUGGCUCACCAAGGCGACGACGGGUAGCCGGCCUGAGAGGGUGACCGGCCACACUGGGACUGAGACACGGCCCAGACUCCUACGGGAGGCAGCAGUGGGGAAUAUUGCACAAUGGGCGCAAGCCUGAUGCAGCGACGCCGCGUGAGGGAUGACGGCCUUCGGGUUGUAAACCUCUUUCAGUAGGGAAGAAGCGAAAGUGACGGUACCUGCAGAAGAAGCACCGGCUAACUACGUGCCAGCAGCCGCGGUAAUACGUAGGGUGCGAGCGUUAUCCGGAAUUAUUGGGCGUAAAGAGCUCGUAGGCGGUUUGUCGCGUCUGUCGUGAAAGUCCGGGGCUUAACCCCGGAUCUGCGGUGGGUACGGGCAGACUAGAGUGCAGUAGGGGAGACUGGAAUUCCUGGUGUAGCGGUGGAAUGCGCAGAUAUCAGGAGGAACACCGAUGGCGAAGGCAGGUCUCUGGGCUGUAACUGACGCUGAGGAGCGAAAGCAUGGGGAGCGAACAGGAUUAGAUACCCUGGUAGUCCAUGCCGUAAACGUUGGGCACUAGGUGUGGGGACCAUUCCACGGUUUCCGCGCCGCAGCUAACGCAUUAAGUGCCCCGCCUGGGGAGUACGGCCGCAAGGCUAAAACUCAAAGGAAUUGACGGGGGCCCGCACAAGCGGCGGAGCAUGCGGAUUAAUUCGAUGCAACGCGAAGAACCUUACCAAGGCUUGACAUGUUCUCGAUCGCCGUGGAGAUACGGUUUCCCCUUUGGGGCGGGUUCACAGGUGGUGCAUGGUUGUCGUCAGCUCGUGUCGUGAGAUGUUGGGUUAAGUCCCGCAACGAGCGCAACCCUCGUUCCAUGUUGCCAGCACGUCAUGGUGGGGACUCAUGGGGAGACUGCCGGGGUCAACUCGGAAGGAAGGUGAGGACGACGUCAAAUCAUCA